rnacentral:rRNA from 1 species
UACGGGGGGGGCAAGCGUUGUUCGGAAUUACUGGGCGUAAAGGGCGCGUAGGCGGCCUUCUAAGUCGGACGUGAAAUCCCUCGGCUUAACCGAGGAACUGCGUCCGAUACUGAAGGGCUUGAAUCCGGGAGAGGGAUGUGGAAUUCCAGGUGUAGCGGUGAAAUGCGUAGAUAUCUGGAGGAACACCGGUGGCGAAGGCGGCAUCCUGGACCGGUAUUGACGCUGAGGCGCGAAAGCUAGGGGAGCAAACGGG